UGCUAUGUCUUAGCAAAGAGACUGGUGG
rnacentral:piRNA from 1 species